rnacentral:rRNA from 1 species
GAAAGAUUCAUCGGAAGAGGAUGGGCAUGCGGCGCAUUAGCUAGACGGCGGGGUAACGGCCCACCGUGGCGACGAUGCGUAGGGGUUCUGAGAGGAAGGUCCCCCACACUGGUACUGAGACACGGACCAGACUCCUACGGGAGGCAGCAGUGAGGAAUAUUGGUCAAUGGGAGAGAUCCUGAACCAGCCAAGCCGCGUGAGGGAAGACGGCCCUAUGGGUUGUAAACCUCUUUUGUCGGAGAACAAAACCCGGGACGUGUCCCGGACUGCGUGUAUCCGAAGAAAAAGCAUCGGCUAACUCCGUGCCAGCAGCCGCGGUAAUACGGAGGAUGCGAGCGUUAUCUGGAUUUAUUGGGUUUAAAGGGUGCGUAGGCGGUCCGUUAAGUCAGCGGUAAAAUUGCGGGGCUCAACCCCGUCGAGCCGUUGAAACUGGCAGACUUGAGUUGGCGAGAAGUACGCGGAAUGCGCGGUGUAGCGGUGAAAUGCAUAGAUAUCGCGCAGAACUCCGAUUGCGAAGGCAGCGUACCGGCGCCAGACUGACGCUGAGGCACGAAAGCGUGGGGAUCGAACAGGAUUAGAUACCCUGGUAGUCCACGCAGUAAACGAUGAAUGCUGGUUGUCCGGGUCGAAUGAGAUCUGG